UUGCUGCAACGUCAAGGUGUUGCGGAUUGUGUAGUCAAGGGCUAUCAAGUGCGAUAAACGGAUCAGGGAUGAAUCAUUUACGUGGCAUUUAGGACAAUUUGUGGAUACGUAAUAUUUGAUCUGAAGCUGUCAACUGAUAACGGUAUGCCAGAACACCGCAACCGUCCGAUGUGACAACUGUCAACGUGCCAAGAGUGCAGUGUCUCACUUCUCAUACCUCAGCGAGGGUGCGAGAUAUACGGGAAUGCGGCAGUGCGAGACAGUGAGUCAAUGUGUAUUAGAUGCGUGGACGGCAUUGAUGCUGGCAGUCAGGCGGCCAACGACGCGUCAAUUACGCACUUGUUGCAUGAGUGUUGCGUGCUAUCUUACAGAGCUGUGAGAGUUCAUGACCCACGUUGGGCGCAUUGCUCCUUGCGGGUCCCGACCUUAUGUUUGUUGCAACAUGCCGACGUUCUACUAGUUUAAAAGCGAUAGACGUUAGGAUUGACAAAUAGACUGCAAAUUAAAACAAGCUCCAAAAUUUCAAAAUCCUUGCAGCAGUGAGCACCGGGGAUUGGCUUGGUAGCUUCCAGGAGGACAACCACGCCUCGCAGUCCACACGCGCCAACCUUGUUCCUUCAUCAUCCAA
rnacentral:lncRNA from 1 species